UACAGGGGGUGCUAGCGUUGUUCGGAAUUACUGGGCGUAAAGGGCGCGUAGGCGGUUUAGCAAGUCAGAUGUGAAAUCCCGGGGCUUAACUCCGGAAGUGCAUUUGAAACUGCUAGGCUAGAGUGCAGUAGAGGUUGGUGGAAUUCCCAGUGUAGAGGUGAAAUUCGUAGAUAUUGGGAGGAACACCAGUGGCGAAGGCGGCCAACUGGGCUGCAACUGACGCUGAGGCGCAAAAGCGUGGGGGUCAAACAGG
rnacentral:rRNA from 1 species